rnacentral:rRNA from 1 species
CGAAGUGAGGGAUACCGGCGAGAAAUCGCCGACAAUACCGCAUACGCUUCGUGCUUGAGAGAGCAAGAAGCAAAGUUUCGCGCAAGCGAGACGCUUUGGGAUGGGCCUGUGGCCGAUUAGCUAGCUGGUGGGGUAAUGGCUCACCAGGGCGAUGAUCGGUAGCUGGUCUGAGAGGACGAUCAGCCACACUGGGAUUGAGAACGGCCCAG